CGUAGAAACAGUAGGAGAUUACUCCGGAUUGGACAUGUAGCUCCCCGCGGUUUUGCUUGAUGCCAGAGGAAACUCUCUCUGAAAGUGCUUUAGCGUCGAAAGUCCUCUGCUUUGCUCUGCCUCAACGUCUACCACUGGAAUUGGUAUAUUGUACCACUCAAUGGUUCUUUGAUUGACCUUGCCUCAAAGCGUGCCUCUUGGUGGAAGGAUUUCUGGCGCAGCUCUUCGUUAGAUCUUGUCUCGCUGACGAGACUGCACUGGGCCUGAGAGCCCUUGGCCUAACUCAGCGAGCACCGCUUCCUCGAUCUUGGCGAAGGGAUUUUAGCGAUGAACUUCGCAUAGCCGUGCGUUCGCGAAAUGUCCUUGCGAGCAUUUGAUAACCCCUUGCCCCGCACCCGUUCGUUGAAUGUUACUGUUGAACUCAUUCUUCUCGCUGCCAUUCGCUCGCGGAGUAUUGGCUUCGCGGCCGCGAGCGAAAGCGAGCGGCCACUUGCUUAGUCUUCGCUAGCGGCCAUUCCUUCGCGGUCAUUCGCUCGCGCCCAUUUGCUUGCGGCCCCGCGCUCGUCUCGGUCGCUUGCUUUCGCUCGCGGCCACUCGCUUAGCGAUCGCUUGCUUAUGCGGUCAAUCGCUCGCGGCCAGUUGCUGAUGCGCCG
rnacentral:lncRNA from 1 species